GCAAACUUGGUCAUUUAGAGGAAGUAAAAGUCGUAACAAGGUUUCCGUAGGUGAACCUGCGGAAGGAUCAUUAAUGAAUGAAAUUGAGUGGGGUUGUAGCUGGCCUUUCACCGGGCAUGUGCACACCUCAUUCGACCACCUUCUACACCCCUGUGCACUUCUCAUGAGUUGGGCCGCGUCUGAAACACGACAAAGUCCGGCUCGUGUGUUUUAUACAAACGAAUCAUGUUACAGAAUGUCACUACCAUGCUUUGAAGCAUAUAAUACAACUUUCAACAACGGAUCUCUUGGCUCUCGCAUCGAUGAAGAACGCAGC
rnacentral:misc_RNA from 1 species